rnacentral:rRNA from 1 species
UCGCCCGCCGCGCCCCGCGCCCGUCCCGCCGCCCCCGCCCGCCUACGGGAGGCAGCAGUGGGGAAUAUUGCACAAUGGGCGAAAGCCUGAUGCAGCAACGCCGCGUGAGGGAUGACGGCCUUCGGGUUGUAAACCUCUUUUAGCAGGGAAGAAGCGAAAGUGACGGUACCUGCAGAAAAAGCGCCGGCUAACUACGUGCCAGCAGCCGCGGUAAUACGUAGGGCGCAAGCGUUAUCCGGAAUUAUUGGGCGUAAAGAGCUCGUAGGCGGUUUGUCGCGUCUGCUGUGAAAUCCCGAGGCUCAACCUCGGGCCUGCAGUGGGUACGGGCAGACUAGAGUGCGGUAGGGGAGAUUGGAAUUCCUGGUGUAGCGGUGGAAUGCGCAGAUAUCAGGAGGAACACCGAUGGCGAAGGCAGAUCUCUGGGCCGUAACUGACGCUGAGGAGCGAAAGGGUGGGGAGCAAACAGGCUUAGAUACCCUGGUAGUCCACCCCGUAAACGUUGGGAACUAGUUGUGGGGGCCAUUCAUCGUCUUCCCGCGGCGCCGCGCGCCUCACUCCGGCGCACUGCCGCGACUGAAAGACGGG